rnacentral:tRNA from 2 species
GCCUGGAUGGCGGAAUUGGUAGACGCAAGGGACUUAAAAUCCCUCGGUCCUUGUGGCUGUGCCGGUUCGACCCCGGCUCCGGGCACCA